GUGAGGAAUUUUCCGCAAUGGGCGAAAGCCUGACGGAGCAAUGCCGCGUGAAGGAUGAAGGCCUAUGGGUUGUAAACUUCUUUUCUCAGAAAAGAAUUAUGACGGUAUCUGAGGAAUAAGCAUCGGCUAACUCUGUGCCAGCAGCCGCGGUAAGACAGAGGAUGCAAGCGUUACCCGGAAUGAUUGGGCGUAAAGCGUCUGUAGGUUGUUUAAAAAGUAUUCUGUCAAAGAUUAGGGCUUAACCCUAGAUAGGCAGAAUAAACUUUUAAGCUAGAGUUUGGUAGAGGCAGAGGGAAUUCCCGGUGGAGCGGUGAAAUGCGUAGAUAUCGGGAGGAACACCAAAGGCGAAGGCACUCUGCUGGGCCAAUACUAACACUGAGAGACGAAAGCGAGGGGAGCAAAUGGGAUUAGAUACCCCAGUAGUCC
rnacentral:rRNA from 1 species